AACGAACGCUGGCGGCGCGCCUAAUACAUGCAAGUCGAGCGAGAAGACGUAGCAAUACGUUUGUAAAGCGGCGAACGGGUGAGGAAUACAUGGGUAACCUACCCUCGAGUGGGGAAUAACUAGCCGAAAGGUUAGCUAAUACCGCGUACGCUCCUUGGACUUCGGUUCAGGGAGGAAAGCGAUACCGUGGGUAUCGCGCUCUUGGAUGGGCUCAUGUCCUAUCAGCUUGUUGGUGAGGAACGGCUCACCAAGGCUUCGACGGGUAGCUGGUCUGAGAGGACGAUCAGCCACACUGGCACUGCGACACGGGCCAGACUCCUACGGGAGCAGCAGUAAGGAAUAUUGCGCAAUGGGCGAAAGCCUGACGCAGCGACGCCGCGUGGGGGAUGAAGGUCUUCGGAUU
rnacentral:rRNA from 1 species